GACGAACGCUGGCGGCGUGCUUAACACAUGCAAGUCGAGCGGUAAGGCCCUUUCGGGGGUACACGAGCGGCGAACGGGUGAGUAACACGUGGGUGACCUGCCUUUAGCUCUGGGAUAAGCCUGGGAAACUGGGUCUAAUACCGGAUAUGACCCUAUGGCGCAUGUUGUGGGGUGGAAAGCCUUGUGCGGCUAGGGAUGGGCCCGCGGCCUAUCAGCUUGUUGGUGGGGUGAUGGCCUACCAAGGCGACGACGGGUAGCCGGCCUGAGAGGGCGACCGGCCACACUGGGACUGAGACACGGCCCAGACUCCUACGGGAGGCAGCAGUGGGGAAUCUUGCGCAAUGGGCGAAAGCCUGACGCAGCGACGCCGCGUGAGGGAUGAAGGCGCUCUGCGUCGUAAACUUCUUUACUCGAGAAAAAUUGUUGGGUUUCUACCUGACUUGAUUGUACCGAGAGAAUAAGGACCGGCUAACUUCGUGCCAGCCG
rnacentral:rRNA from 1 species